AGAGUUUGAUCCUGGCUCAGAACGAACGCUGGCGGCAUGCCUAACACAUGCAAGUCGGACGCUGCAUGGGUUUCGGCCCAUGCGGAGUGGCGCACGGGUGAGUAGCGCGUGGGAACCUGUCCCGCAGUGGGGGAUAACCGAGGGAAACUUCGGCUAAUACCGCAUGCGCCCCUGGGUUCAGGGCGACCUGGCGACCUGGGGGGAAAGAUUGAUCGCUGUGGGAGGGGCCCGCGUCGGAUUAGGUAGUUGGUGGGGUAACGGCCUACCAAGCCGAUGAUCCGUAGCUGGUCUGAGAGGAUGAUCAGCCACACUGGGACUGAGACACGGCCCAGACUCCUACGGGAGGCAGCAGUGGGGAAUAUUGGACAAUGGGCGCAAGCCUGAUCCAGCAAUGCCGCGUGAGUGAUGAAGGCCUUCGGGUUGUAAAGCUCUUUGGGCGGGGACGAUGAUGACGGUACCCGCAGAACAAGCCCCGGCUAACUUCGUGCCAGCAGCCGCGGUAAUACGAAGGGGGCGAGCGUUGUUCGGAAUUACUGGGCGUAAAGGGCGCGCAGGCGGCCAUUCAAGUCAGGCGUGAAAGCCCCGGGCUCAACCUGGGAAUGGCGCUUGGGACUGGGUGGCUGGGGUUCGGGAGAGGAGAGUGGAAUUCCCAGUGUAGAGGUGAAAUUCAGAUAUUGGGAAGAACACCGGUGGCGAAGGCGGCUCUCUGGACCGAUACUGACGCUGAGGCGCGAGAGCGUGGGGAGCAAACAGGAUUAGAUACCCUGGUAGUCC
rnacentral:rRNA from 1 species